rnacentral:lncRNA from 1 species
GGAUUUAAUAAGUUUAGCAUUUAAUUUGGAUUAUUUUUAUUAUGCUUAAAGUUGUAAUAAGGCCGCCCUUUUUAAUUAAUUUUAUUUUGGGGAUUAUUAAACUGGUUAGCACUAGGGUCCAUUUUAUAAAAACUACUUGUUUUUAAAAGAUCACGAUGACUCGCAAAGUUUCCGCAAAGUAAAUGUUUUUCCAAGAAAAUAAAUAUUUUAAGC